UAAAGUAAAGCACAUUUGUAGCUUUUGUUUUCAUGGCUGGCUUUGUAACAAGGAGUACUGUAAGUCGCAUUGUUCUUAUUACGUUGCGAGGCACGUGUUGUGAUCUACUUAACACUGGGUGGAGCGGGGCUUAACUGUCCAUACAGCAAUUUUUUUAAUAAGAAUGUCUGUUUCAUUCAUGUUUCAUUUUAAUGACAUAAUUUUUUACCUUUAUCAUGCAAGUAUGUAACCAGAUGGACAUUGAACACAUAAAAAUCAUCGGAUUAAGUUUCCAAUGAUUGAAGUAAACAUUGCACAUGCCGUUAUUGUCGUAUAUAUAUAUUUUAGGUGACAACGUUUGAGAAGCGACGCUGUUUGUACUGUAACCACCUAUUUGUACCUAAACAUUCAAUCUGAAGUUAGGCAAAAGAAAAAAAACCUACCUGAUUUCCUGCGAAGUCAGCAGCAUGUGCAAGAUUAAUAAAUUUACAUUAUAAUCUAUAUAUAUAAAUAAAAUUAGAGUGUCUGUUUGUAAUAUUGAAAUAGCCUCUUUUUACUACAGGCAUAUGAAUAUAUUACGGUACAUAGGUACACCAAAAUAACAUUUUUUACAAUUUUUGUCUGUCUGUCUGUUUUUUCCGGCUAAUCUCUGAAACGGCUGGAGCGAUUUUGACGGGACUUUCACUGAUAUGUAGCUGAUGAUAUAAGGAGUAACUUAGGCUACUUUAUUUUAGACUAUUUUCGCCCCGCGGCUUCACUCGCGGUACGAUAAUAACCGCGGGUAACAUCGCGGGACUCAGCUAUCAAUAAUAAAAUUGAAUGUUUCCGAAGCGAAGCGAGGGCGCGUCGCUAGUAGACAAUAUAAAUAGACGUUUGUUAUUUAUUCUCUGAAUAAAGCGACUUACUUUUUAAAAGGCACUUGAGUGCUGUCAGCUGCGCGGAGGUCUGUGAGUCGCGCCGCUACCAUGUUGUAUGCUGUAAUCGUAUAAUUUCUGUGCAUUAACGCGGUGUAGAGCUCGGUCCGUCGUUUCGCCGGAGAACGCGGCCGCCGCCCGCCACCCGACACCCGAUCCUUAUACAUCCAUCACCACCACCCACCAUAUUGUCAACUCUAAGCCUUCAUGCACUCAAAAAUAUCAAUGUAAUAUGUAAAAUGAUGAUACAUGUGAUAUCCGAAGUGCAGGUGUCCGGUCGUCAUGACAAAAAAAAAACACGUGAGUAUUACUUUCAGAGUUUCUAUAUGUAGUUCAGAUAAAGUUUUAUUGUUGAUUUAAAAACCGACGUGCAAUGAAUAUAUGUUAGGUUAAAAUAAUUCGGAAGCAAAACGAAUGUAGAAAAAAAGUCUUAAUUUUGUUUGUAUGUUUCUUCGAUUAAAAGGUAUGUUGUCUUUUGUUUUACAAUAUUGUUUUUCAUUUAUUUUUCAGUGCAUUAAUCAUUAUGACAGUAAAAUAGCAGAUGAAGUGGUGAUGUGAAAAUACACAGCAUUAAAAUGUGUUAUGAGAACAGAAUCUUAUCCGUAUUUGCUUAAAAAAGAUUGGGCUAUUAUAUCAAUAAAUGUUAUAUAUUAUAUCAAAAAAUAUUUCAAGGAUAUUUUCCAAAUAAACGUAUACUAAGCAGAAAUCUUCAACCAGAACAGCAUGCGAGCGCGUUGGAAAAUAAAAUAAACAUGCCAAGCUAUUUUUGAAACAGUCCGUGAAUGGGAAAUGUCCGGGACGGGCGAGCGGCCGCCGCGCGUGUUGGCCUCACCUUUCUCCUGCUUACGCCGUUUACGCUUGUUACAUAUCUUGACGGCACACACGGACAGUAUGAUGGCGACGAUGAAGAACAGAAUCCCACCCACGACACCAGCCGUGAUCGCUUUGUGCUUCACGCGUGCCGGCACCGGGAACCUCACUUCGUCCGAACUCUCGUAGCUGGUCGCCGAGUUCGCGAGUACUCGAAAAUAAUAAGUACGCCCGCCGACUAAGUUCUUAACUGGAAUGCGAGACACAACGGAAUCUACCACCGGAUCGGAAACACGACUCACUGACAAGAUCCGGCGAGAAACUCACUGAGUUGUGUCUGUGGGUUCAUUUACUCGCUGAGCCCUUCGUCGCAAGCGACGGGUUCGACGAGAACAAUGACCGGAGGAACUCAUGAAGCCGCCGCUCACAACAACAU